rnacentral:misc_RNA from 1 species
GCACUCUCACAUCUAACCUUUGGGUUAAAAUGUGGAAUUGGGAUGCGCCGGUUAUCAUAACGGCCCUUCUAAAUUUCAGUUCUUGGCUGCUUCCUAGUACAGCAGUUUGGCCUAAUAGUUUUGAGUCUCCAAUUCAAAUCUUUGGCUAACAUUUGCUUCAGGAAGUCAGUCUUGAUAUACAGAAAUCUCAUUCUAA